UACGUAGGGACCGAGCGUUGUCCGGAUUCAUUGGGCGUAAAGAGCUCGUAGGCGGCUGCUCAAGUCGAAUGUGAAAACUCGAGGCUCAACCUCGAGCCUGCAUUCGAUACUGGGCGGCUAGAGUCUGGUAGGGGGAUCUGGAAUUCCUGGUGUAGCGGUGGAAUGCGCAGAUAUCGGGAGGAACACCAAUGGCGAAGGCAGCUCGCUGGGACGGUACUGACGCUGAGACGCGAAAGCGUGGGGAGCAAACAGG
rnacentral:rRNA from 1 species